UAGAACGCGGAGAAAUUCGGUGACUGCGGCGGCUCGCGUUUGCAUAGUGACCUGUAAAACAGAAUGAUACGCAAUGGGAAUGGCUUCCCACGAGGACUCCAAGUGUGUGGAAACUAAAACCCACGCUCACCAAGAGGGAGAUAUAAAAGACAGCAAGAAACCACGACGAGAAGGAACGGAAAACGGGAAAGUAAAGAAAUUCCCACCACGUUUGAAAGAUGUGUGGAGUUUUGUCCUCACCCCUGAACUCUCAGAGUACCCAGACUUUUCUCCACCUGCUUCCUAGAAUCCAAUUUCCCUCUUCGUAUUCUGAAGGUCAGUCACAAAUGCAUCACGAGGAAAUCUGAGAUUGAGAGAGGCUUGGAGUUGAGAUGGCCACUGGAAUCAAGCGGAGACACCUGCAAUGUUGGCUCCACUGGAGCCCAGCGCUGCACCCAGAAACGCAGGCCAAGGAGCAACAGCUAGAUCAGAGUUCUUCUCGGCCCUCCCUAGGUGGGCAGUUCAAACCCACAGGUGUUUGCCCCCUCUGAUGCAUGCUGCUUCGCUUCCUAAGGAGUCUCUCUUCGAACACCAGGCCUCCUUUUUUUUUUUUUCCUCUUGGUAAGGAAAGUAAACAUCUUGUUUAUAUUUCCAUAGUGGUCAGGCCCUAAUUAUGCAUGAUUCCAGCAACAUGACUGCUUCAGCCGGAAGGCGCCGGCCUCGAAAGACUCCUGGAACUUCACAUAGUUGUUUUUUUUUUUUUUUUUUUUUCUUUUUUCUUUUUAAGUAUAAAGCGUUUGUGGAGGGUCAGAAACAGACAAGCUGAAGGUUAAAAGGGGGACAGCCAGGAUUCCGCAUUUGGGGGAGGAAAAAAAAAAGAGGCCUUGGUGAUACUUGCGGCCGGCCGAGACCUGAGAAGCCGAGCUUGUCACUGCUACUGCGAACGAACCUCAGCCUCAAGGGCACUGCCCUAGGUCCAAGUCUGGUUAGUACCACCAUUCAACUAGGACCCAGUAAAAUCUCCUAAGCCUGCAAGACAGAAGAGAGCGAGGAAAGGAACCGGGCAACCGAACAUGGAAAACAUCUUUUUGGUCACGUGAACUUUAUUGCAGCUCAGGAAGUUAUCUAACAGCUGCCAAAACUUCUGACUCCACUGCUCCAAAAGCUUGACUGUUUCUCACACCUCAGCACCCUGUGUGGAGCCUGCCGACUCGACUAGGAGAUAUUCAGAUUUCCUAUUCUCCUUUCACCUUCUUCCCACACCUGGCUGGUUGCAUUUGGAGAUGAUUUUCUUUUCUUCAAUUCACGAGACAUGUGGCUCCCAUGCUUACCUGGGCUGUACUUUCCCAAUCCAUCCUCCAUGAGGGGAACUCCAAAGCGUCUCCUGCAGAGAGAAAGCCAGGUUGAGGAAGGGUCAGAAAAAGAAAGCCAGGCAUACUGUAUAUAUUUUCUGUGUGCCUUUGAUUCAUUGCAGAAAAAGUUCCACGGGGGGUGGGGGGGAAUGAUUUUAAUGGUUACCCUCUCAUUGUUCCACUAACUCACUAAUUCUCAGGCCUGUGGGAACCUGACCUUGUUUCCUUAAAAGGCCUGCCAAAGAUCUGAGCACAGUGGGCUACAGCACUGAUCCUGGUUGACAGAUGGGAGUUCUGAGGGAGAAGGGGCAGUUGAGGGAUCAGAAGCGAAGGCCCACAAGCGCUCAUCAGUUUCAGUUCAUUUCAUGGUCUCAUAAGAGAUUGAGAUAGGGGCUGGGGAGAUGGCUCAGUGGUUGAGAGCACUGUCUGCUCUUCCAGAGAUCCUGAGUUCAAUUCCCAGCAACCACAUGGUGGCUCACAACCAUCUAUAAUGUGAUCUGAUGCCCGCUUCUGGAAUGUCUGUGCACCUGCAGAUAGAGCAUUCAUAUACCUAAAAGAAAUAAAGAAAAAGAAUUUUUUAAAAAAAGAGAGAUUGAGGUAAUCUCGGGAGGACCUUCUCUCACUUUCUACCAGAUGCCUCCCUAAAAGGCUGAUACCCAGUUCCUCCUGAGUAGGAGGAAGGUCUGGAAGGACCUUGCUCUGGCUGACGGGUUUAACUGGCAGGACAUUACUGCCAGUUGUGUGUAUUUCCUGACCCCAAAAGUUCAGACUGAGCAGGGCCAAUGGGCCCAGGUCCAAGCAUAAUCCAGAUGUCUAGGAACAGGGACCUCUCCAGAGGCCUGUGUGUAGAAAGCCCAUUCAUCUUGGGCCCAGUGCAUUUACUCUGUGGAAACAGUCCCUGAAGUGCCCCAGCGAGGAAGGGAGCAGCUACCGGAAGGCUGAGGCAGUGCCCUAGCUGCACAGCUCUCUCCCUGCAGGAGAUGUCUAAGAGCAUAAAGUGCUAGAGUGCUGGAGCGUCUUGUAAAUUAAAGGACAAUCUGGGACAGCAUUGUGCCAAAGUGGUUGCCAAGCCCUCUGAAAGCAAAUACCUUCGCUACUGUUUGAUAACCCAGCCACAGCUCUGAUGCUAAGCAGAGUGGCGCACACAGCCCGGAAGUGCUUGCUGAGACCCGGAAGCACCUGGAGUUGGCCGCCCUGCUCUCUAGGAACCCUUGGCUACCACAGUGUGUAGGUGUAGCGGUUUGUAAUCCCCGUCCUGCUCCUGUCCCACCCACCCCUGGAAUCUGCCCUGGCUGUUUGAGGGAAGGGAAAAGGCAGGUCCCUGGAGCAACCAACCGCGAGUGGAAUUAGUCCUUCGUUUUAAUUAAGCUGCUUCUCUGCCCUGAAAGGAAGAAUUUAUAACAGGGGCCCGAUAACUGAAAAUCUCACGAUAGAUUAUAGAGCAAAUGAACUAAAGAUCUUCGGGUGAGAUUUACAAUUCCACACUGAAUAAAACGUCCCCUGUACUCCCUCCCUCUGUGUCCCUCUCUGCAGGACGCUCCCAGGGAUCCCGGGUGGGCGUGAGACUUGGGCGCACAGAGGCUGGGGCGCAUCUAGCUGCUUGCCGGGGAGCCGGGUUCGCGGGGCCCCUGAUGGGCCCUUUGACCCGCCGCCGACGUGCCAUUGUAAGAAAAAUGUUUCAGAUCCAACCUGAGCUGCUUUCCGUAGCACAGGAAACAUCUGGGAAGUUUUCUCCCAGCGUUUGGGAAAGUACUUACUUUCGAAGUUGGCUAAGGUGUUCUAGGACCCAGACAAACCCGAGUCCGGAGAUGGGGCUCUGAGGUUGGCAGCCCUGCCAGCUGCUUGGGUGCAAACUGGGGAUCUAGCUGGUGGCAGGCACUUGGGUGAAGGACGAAUUAAACACUUAGUCCCGCGUCUGCGCCUUCUGGCCUCAUUGUUUUAACGUCUGUACUACUUAGCCACAGUUUGAGAAAGAAUAAUGCCUUUACAUUCAGAAAAACUUCAAAGACCCGGGCUUGCUCAAUAUGGCCCGCACAUGGUAGUCUCCGAAGGCCUUGUCUGCCAAAACAUGUUUCUCAGUAUUUUUCUCUUUUCUUCCGAUCUCCCACCCCCCACUUUUUUUUUUCCUCCCCAGAUGGGAGGGAACCGCAGGCUCAGGUUACCUAGGGCGUUUUGCCUUCACAGAGGCAGUUAGGGCUAUUCCAUUGCAUUUUGGGAACAAAAUCUCAACUAGGAAAGGAUUUUGAGGACUGGCUAGCUCUCCAGACAGGAGGAGAGGCUGGAAACUUGACCAGGACCCAGAAGGGACUGUAUCAGAGUAGGUGCAUCAUCAGAUUUAUAGAUGUUGAAACACAAUGUCCUUUCCUGCAGAUGCACAUCUUUCUGUUACUAACCACUGUUUAAAAUGAGGCCAAGAUAAUCGGGCUGUGUCUUUACCGUAGCACAUGGUUCUCAGUGUAGAAAGUAUUUCCUAUUUAUCGAACUAUCGGUAUUGAACCAACUGAAGGCAACCAUCCACUUUUUAAUUUUGGGAAUAAGCAAUAUCCAUUCAAAACGUUUAAACUGCUAUGAUCUAGA